UAGGUAGAGACGCUGAAGCACGCUAUGUGUCCUCUAUUUGAUAGACUUAGUCAAUAGGUAGAGACGCUGAAGCACGCUAUGUGUCCUCUAUUUGAUAGACUUAGUCAAUAGGUAGAGACGCUGAAGCACGCUAUGUGUCCUCUAUUUGAUAGACUUAGUCAAUAGGUAGAGACGCUGAAGCACGCUAUGUGUCCUCUAUUUGAUAGACUUAGUCAAUAGGUAGAGACGCUGAAGCACGCUAUGUGUCCUCUAUUUGAUAGACUUAGUCAAUAGGUAGAGACGCUAAAGCACGCUAUAUGUCCU